rnacentral:rRNA from 1 species
CGGACAUUACCGAACUGUCGACAUGAGCCGUUGCUGGUCCUCGAAAGGGGGCAUGUGCGUGCUCUGUUUACACAUCCACUCACACCUGUGCACUUUCUGUAGUUCUGUGGCGUCGGGGACUCUGUCCUCUCGCUGUGGUCCUACGUCUUUACACACACACCGUAAUACAGUCUCAUGGAAUGUAUGUCGCGUUUAACGCAAUACAAUACAACUUUCAGCAACGGAUCUCUUGGCUCUCGCAUCGAUGAUUCACGCUGCGAAAUGCGAUAAGUAAUGUGAAUUGCAGAAUUCAGUGAAUCAUCGAAUCUUUGAACGCACCUUGCGCCCUUUGGCUAUUCCGAAGGGCAUGCCUGUUUGAGUAUCAUGAACACCUCAACUCUCAUGGCCUGCCAUGAUGAGCUUGGAUAAUGGGGGUCUUGCUUUCCUAACCGUUGGCUCCUCUUAAACGAAUCAGCUUGCCAGUGUCGUUUGGCAUCACAGGUGUGAUAACUAUCUACGCCCGUGGUUCUCCACCAGGUAACCUUCAGCAAUGUUUGUUCGCUGGAGCUCACAGAAGUCUCUCCUCAGCCCAGACAGCUUUUGAACGUUUGAUCUCAAAUCAGGUAGGACUACCCGCUGAA